CCUACGGGAGGCUGCAGUCGAGGAUCUUCCGCAAUGCGCGCAAGCGUGACGGAGCGACGCCGCGUGGGGGAUGAAGGCCUUCGGGUUGUAAACCCCUGUCACCUGGAAAGAACGGCGAGUGGUUAAUAGCCAGCUCGCGUGACGUUACCAGGAGAGGAAGCACCGGCUAAAUACGUGCCAGCAGCCGCGGUAAUACGUAUGGUGCUAACGUUGUUCGGAAUCACUGGGCUUAAAGAGCACGUAGGCGGUUGAGAAAGUCUGAUGUGAAAGCCCCCGGCCCAACCGGGGAAUUGCAUCAGAAACUACUUGUCUAGAGUGCAGGAGGGGAGAGUGGAAUUCCUGGUGGAGCGGUGAAAUGCGUAGAUAUCAGGAGGAACGCCGGUGGCGAAAGCGACUCUCUGGCCUGUUACUGACGCUGAGGUGCGAAAGCUAGGGGAGCA
rnacentral:rRNA from 1 species